GCACUCUUAGCUCAGCUGGAUAGAGCAUCGGUUUGCGGUACCGAAGGUCACAGGUUCGAAUCCUGUAGGGUGUACCA
rnacentral:tRNA from 1 species